AACGCGAAGAACCUUACCUACCCUUGACAUCCUCGGAAGCUGAUAGAGAUAUUGGUGUGCCUUCGGGAACCGAGAGACAGGUGCUGCAUGGCUGUCGUCAGCUCGUGUCGUGAGAUGUUGGGUUAAGUCCCGUAACGAGCGCAACCCCUGUUCUUAGUUGCUACCGGGUAAAGCCGAGAACUCUAAGGAGACUGCCGGUGACAAGCCGGAGGAAGGUGGGGAUGACGUCAAGUCCUCAUGGCCCUUACGGGUAGGGCCACACACGUGCUACAAUGGGCGGUACAGAGGGAAGCGAAACCGCGAGGUGGAGCGAAUCUUUAGAAAGCCGUUCUUAGUCCGGAUUGGAGUCUGCAACUCGACUCCAUGAAGUUGGAAUCGCUAGUAAUCGCGGAUCAGAACGCCGCGGUGAAUACGUUCCCGGGCCUUGUACACACCGCACGA
rnacentral:rRNA from 1 species